rnacentral:rRNA from 1 species
AUGGGUGGCGACAACAAGCGGUCCGGCUGGUGGUGCAUGGAUUGGCAGGAGGAGGAAGAAGAUGAAGAAAAUGGCGAGGAAAUCCAACGGCCAUUGUCAGUGCCCUACGCAAAGGAUGAACUUCCUUGUCACCCAGUCCUCGCCGCCGGUGCUCGUCGGCCCGUCGGAGCCCACGCCCACCAGCCGGGCCACUUGUUCCUAGGAGCCGUGGGCGAGCUCGCGCGCGGGCUGUCCACGCCGUCCGUCGUUCCAGUGAGGCACGACCCGUCGCUCCCGGAGAUACCGCAGCUGCUCGCCGCCCUCGGGCCGUCCCUGGACUUGAAGCCUGUCGAGUUCGCCUACACCGACGUGACCAUCCCUUGGAGCUUCGUCAACCGCAUCAAGGCCGAGUUCCGGGGCGUCGAACAGUGGUGCUCGACGUUCGAGAUGGUGGUGACAACGUGUGGCGCGGUGGCGAACGGCGACACCGCUGAGGUGGUGAAGCUGAUCAAGCACGGCAAGGGGCGGAUACGGAACAUCCUCGGGAACUACGAGCCCGUGGUGUUCAGCGAGGAGCUCGGCGUCGACUUCGGCGGCGGGAGGCUGGCCAGGGUGAUGGCCAACAAGGAGAUGACGAGGACGCCAGGCUGCGUCCCGUGCCUACCGUGCUCGAGGAAGGACGGCGACGUCGUGAAUGUGCUGGCGUUCUGCGUGAGGGAGGAGCACGUCGACGGUUUCCACGCUGCAUUGGCGACGCUCCACUGA